rnacentral:lncRNA from 1 species
UAGGCUCAACCCAGAGGUGAGCCGAUUCAAAUUUCAAAUCUAAAUGAUUGUGCAUAAAAUUAAUUAUAAAAAUAUUUUAUAAAAUUUUGAAACUAUUUUCAAAGACUGAACCCCUACCCACAAUCUCAAAUUUAAUUAAAAAUUAAGUUGAAGCUAUUAGAUCUAGAAUUAUGGAUUAAAGAUCUAAUGUCAUUUGUCUAAAAUAUGGAUGAUGGAUUUAUGGGUUGGCU